rnacentral:rRNA from 1 species
AACGAACGCUGGCGGCAGGCUUAACACAUGCAAGUCGAACGAGAAGCUUCUUCGGAAGUGGACAGUGGCAGACGGGUGAGUAACGCGUGGGAAUCUGCCCAGAGGUUCGGGACAACCAUUGGAAACGAUGGCUAAUACCGGAUAAGCCCGCAAGGGGAAAGAUUUAUCGCCUUUGGAUGAGCCCGCGUAAGAUUAGCUAGUUGGUGGGGUAAAAGCCUACCAAGGCUACGAUCUUUAGCUGGUCUGAGAGGAUGAUCAGCCACAUUGGGACUGAGACACGGCCCAGACUCCUACGGGAGGCAGCAGUGGGGAAUAUUGCGCAAUGGGGGAAACCCUGACGCAGCCAUGCCGCGUGAGUGACGAAGGCCUUAGGGUUGUAAAGCUCUUUCGCUAGGGAAGAUAAUGACGGUACCUAGUAAAGAAGCCCCGGCUAACUCCG